GGCAUUCAAGGCUCCAGGCUAACAUUUGAGAGCAGUGAUUUUUUUAAUCAUAAAGGGUCCCAGAGUCUGGAGGAAGAGAGGAGAGGCACACAAUCCACAUUGAUUGAGGUCCAGUGUAAAGUUUCCACAGUCAGUGAUGGUUUGGGGUGCCAUGUCAUCUGCUGGUGUUGGUCCACUGUGUUUUCUGAGGUCCAAGGUCAACGCAGCCGUACACCAGGAAGUUUUAGAGCACUUCAUGCUUCCUGCUGCUGACCAACUUUAUGGAGAUGCAGAUUUCAUUUUCCAACAGGACUUGGCACCUGCACACAGUGCCAAAGCUACCAGUACCUGGUUUAAGGACCAUGGUAUCCCUGUUCUUAAUUGGCCAGCAAACUCGCCUGACCUUAACCCCAUAGAAAAUCUAUGGGGUAUUGUGAAGAGAAAGAUGCGAUAUGCCAGACCCAACAAUGCAGAAGAGCUGAAGGCCACUAUCAGAGCAACCUGGGCUCUUAUAUCACCUGAGCAGUGCCACAGACUGAUCGACUCCAUGCCGCGCCGCAUUGCUGCAGUAAUUCAGGCAAAAGGAGCCCCAACUAAGUAUUGAGUGCUGUACAUGCUCAUACUUUUCAUGUUCAUACUUUUCAGUUGGCCAAGAUUUCUAAAAAUCCUUUCUUUGUAUUGGUCUUAAGUAAUAUUCUAAUUUUCUGAGAUACUGAAUUUGGGAUUUUCCUUAGUUGUCAGUUAUAAUCAUCAAAAUUAAAAGAAAUAAACAUUUGAAAUA